rnacentral:rRNA from 1 species
AUUGAACGCUGGCGGAAUGCUUUACACAUGCAAGUCGAACGGUAGAGGGGGCAACCCCUUGAGAGUGGCGAACGGGUGAGUAAUAUAUCGGAACGUGCCCAGUCGUGGGGAUAACGUAGCGAAAGCUACGCUAAUACCGCAUACGAUCUACGGAUGAAAGCGGGGGAUCGCAAGACCUCGCGCGAUUGGAGCGGCCGAUAUCAGAUUAGGUAGUUGGUGAGGUAAAGGCUCACCAAGCCGACGAUCUGUAGCUGGUCUGAGAGGACGACCAGCCACACUGGGACUGAGACACGGCCCAGACUCCUACGGGAGGCAGCAGUGGGGAAUUUUGGACAAUGGGCGCAAGCCUGAUCCAGCAAUGCCGCGUGCAGGAUGAAGGCC